GAUGAACGCUAGCUACAGGCUUAACACAUGCAAGUCGAGGGGAAACGAUAGAGAAAGCUUGCUUUUUCUAGGCGUCGACCGGCGCACGGGUGAGUAACGCGUAUCCAACCUGCCCAUCACUUGGGGAUAACCUUGCGAAAGUAAGACUAAUACCCAAUGAUAUCUCUAGAAGACAUCUGAAGGAGAUUAAAGAUUUAUCGGUGAUGGAUGGGGAUGCGUCUGAUUAGCUUGUUGGCGGGGUAACGGCCCACCAAGGCGACGAUCAGUAGGGGGUCUGAGAGGAAGGUCCCCCACAUUGGAACUGAGACACGUUCCAAACUCCUACGGGAGGCAGCAGUGAGUAAUAUUGGUCAAUGGGCGAGAGCCUGAACCAGCCAAGUAGCGUGCAGGAUGACGGCCCUAUGGGUUGUAAACUGCUUUUAUAAGGGAAUAAAGUGAGUCUCGUGAGGCUUUUUGCAUGUACCUUAUGAAUAAGGACCGGCUAAUUCCGUGCCAGCCGCCGCCGUAA
rnacentral:rRNA from 1 species